AGCCUGAUGCAGCGACGCCGCGUGGGGGAUGACGGCCUUCGGGUUGUAAACCCCUUUCAGCAGGGAAGAAGCGCAAGUGACGGUACCUGCAGAAGAAGCGCCGGCUAACUACGUGCCAGCAGCCGCGGUAAUACGUAGGGCGCAAGCGUUGUCCGGAAUUAUUGGGCGUAAAGAGCUCGUAGGCGGCUUGUCGCGUCGGUUGUGAAAGCCCGGGGCUUAACCCCGGGUCUGCAGUCGAUACGGGCAGGCUAGAGUUCGGUAGGGGAGAUCGGAAUUCCUGGUGUAGCGGUGAAAUGCGCAGAUAUCAGGAGGAACACCGGUGGCGAAGGCGGAUCUCUGGGCCGAUACUGACGCUGAGGAGCGAAAGCGUGGGGAGCGAACAGGAUUAGAUACCCUGGUAGUCCACGCCGUAAACGGUGGGCACUAGGUGUGGGCAACAUUCCACGUUGUCCGUGCCGCAGCUAACGCAUUAAGUGCCCCGCCUG
rnacentral:rRNA from 1 species